GAUGAACGCUGGCGGCGUGCUUAACACAUGCAAGUCGAACGGUCCUUCGGGACAGUGGCGGACGGGUGAGUAACGCGUGGGAAUCUGCCCUUAGGAGGGGGAUAACGGUUGGAAACGACCGCUAAUACCCCAUAUGCCGAGAGGUGAAAAGAAAUUCGCCUGAGGAUGAGCCCGCGUCUGAUUAGCUAGUUGGUGGGGUAAGAGCCUACCAAGGCGACGAUCAGUAGCUGGUCUGAGAGGAUGAUCAGCCACACUGGGACUGAGACACGGCCCAGACUCCUACGGGAGGCAGCAGUGGGGAAUUUUCCGCAAUGGGCGAAAGCCUGACGGAGCAACGCCGCGUGAGGGAUGAAGGCCUCUGGGCUGUAAACCUCUUUUCUCAAGGAAGAAGAUCUGACGGUACUUGAGGAAUAAGCCACGGCUAAUUCCGUGCCAGCAGCCGCGGUAAUACGGGAGUGGCAAGCGUUAUCCGGAAUUAUUGGGCGUAAAGCGUCCGCAGGCGGCCUUGUAAGUCUGUUGUUAAAGCGUGGAGCUUAACUCCAUUUCAGCAAUGGAAACUACAAGGCUGGAGUGUGGUAGGGGCAGAGGGAAUUCCCGGUGUAGCGGUGAAAUGCGUAGAUAUCGGGAAGAACACCAGUGGCGAAGGCGCUCUGCUGGGCCAUAACUGACGCUCAUGGACGAAAGCCAGGGGAGCGAAAGGGAUUAGAUACCCCUGUAGUCCUGGCCGUAAACGAUGAACACUAGGUGUCGGGGGAAUCGACCCCCUCGGUGUCGUAGCCAACGCGUUAAGUGUUCCGCCUGGGGAGUACGCACGCAAGUGUGAAACUCAAAGGAAUUGACGGGGGCCCGCACAAGCGGUGGAGUAUGUGGUUUAAUUCGAUGCAACGCGAAGAACCUUACCAGGGUUUGACAUCCUGCGAACCCCUGAGAAAUCGGGGGGUGCCUUCGGGAACGCAGUGACAGGUGGUGCAUGGCUGUCGUCAGCUCGUGUCGUGAGAUGUUGGGUUAAGUCCCGCAACGAGCGCAACCCACGUCUUUAGUUGCCAGCAUUCAGUUGGGCACUCUAGAGAGACCGCCGGUGAUAAACCGGAGGAAGGUGUGGAUGACGUCAAGUCAUCAUGCCCCUUACAUCCUGGACUACACACGUACUACAAUGCUACGGACAAAGGGCAGCAAGCUCGCGAGAGUUAGCAAAUCCCAUAAACCGUGGCUCAGUUCAGAUCGUAGGCUGCAACUCGCCUACGUGAAGGAGGAAUCGCUAGUAAUCGCAGGUCAGCAUACUGCGGUGAAUACGUUCCCGGGCCUUGUACACACCGCCCGUCACACCAUGGAAGUUGGCCAUGCCCGAAGUCGUUACUCCAACCCUUGCGGAGGAGGACGCCGAAGGUGGGGCUGAUGACUGGGGUGAA
rnacentral:rRNA from 1 species